GACGGAGGAUGCGAGCGUUAUCCGGAUUUAUUGGGUUUAAAGGGUGCGUAGGCUGUUUCUUAAGUCAGCGGUCAAAUUUCUGCGCUCAACGCAGUCUUGCCGUUGAAACUGGGAGACUUGAGUCUAGAUGAAGUGGGCGGAAUUUGUAGUGUAGCGGUGAAAUGCAUAGAUAUUACAAGGAACUCCAAUUGCGCAGGCAGCUCACUAAACUAUCACUGACGCUGAAGCACGAAAGCGUGGGUAUCAAACAGG
rnacentral:rRNA from 1 species